rnacentral:misc_RNA from 1 species
AACGCACGAGACCUGCGGACCUGCGGAAGGAUCAUUACCACGCGAUCCAAAAACGCUCACUCAACACAAACUUUGCGGGUGCGGGGGUUGAAAUCCCUGCACUCGCUGUAUUACACCCCAUUUUCACACUCCUUACCUGAGGACACCGAAAAUCACUUCGGCAAAGCCCUGAGACCGGCGAGUUUUGGCGUGCGCAAGCACGGCGGGCCGCCCCUCAGUACCAUAUCUCAAUGCUUAAAA